rnacentral:rRNA from 1 species
UAGGGAAUCUUCCGCAAUGGGCGAAAGCCUGACGGAGCAACGCCGCGUGAGUGAUGAAGGUCUUCGGAUCGUAAAACUCUGUUAUCAGGGAAGAACAAAUGUGUAAGUAACUAUGCACGUCUUGACGGUACCUAAUCAGAAAGCCACGGCUAACUACGUGCCAGCAGCCGCGGUAAUACGUAGGUGGAAAGCGUUAUCCGGAAUUAUUGGGCGUAAAGCGCGCGUAGGCGGUUUUUUAAGUCUGAUGUGAAAGCCCACGGCUCAACCGUGGAGGGUCAUUGGAAACUGGAAAACUUGAGUGCAGAAGAGGAAAGUGGAAUUCCAUGUGCAGCGGUGAAAUGCGCACAGAUAUUGGGGAAAACCAGUGGCGAAGGCAAUUUUCUGGUCUAUAACUGACGCUGAUGUGCGAAAGCGUGGGGAUCAAACAGG